rnacentral:rRNA from 1 species
CCUACGGGAGGCAGCAGUGAGGAAUAUUGGUCAAUGGGCGCAGGCCUGAACCAGCCAAGUAGCGUGCGGGAUGACGGCCCUAUGGGUUGUAAACCGCUUUUGCGGGGGGAUAAAGUGCGGGACGCGUCCCGCUUUGCAUGUACCCCGAGAAUAAGGACCGGCUAACUCCGUGCCAGCAGCCGCGGUAAU